GACAUUCCAAUAAAAUUAUGGCGGUAGCGCCUAAAAGGGCGAAAAUUUCAUUCACCCGCUCUAUUCCAAUUUUCCCCAAAUUGCGCAACUCAAAAUGCUUCUCUUCCUUCAUUUAGAGCGGUUUUCCCAUAACCUUUAGGCCAUUUUUCAAUCAAAUGGUUGUUUCGCCAGCUAGGCUUUGGCUGAACCAACAGACCAUUGAUUACCCGAGAUUCAAAUCUGAGAUUGUCAGUGAUGGUGGAAAUGCUAUAACAAUACCAAGGUUUGGUUCGAUGUCGACGAAAAGGGAGCUCAAGUAAUAUGCUUUUGGUUUGAGACAUUCUGCUCCUGCUCGGGUGCCUUUACUGCCAAAAGGGAGAAAGCGCUGGGCAAGAAAUCGGGGCAUAAGAAGUGGAUUGAAGAAAUUAAAGACUUGGCUUGAAAAUCUGCGAAUUAAAGUUGAUUGAAGAAAAUGUUUUGCGAUUCUGUAUACACAAAGCCAACAAUUGUAACUCUAUUGCAUUUCCUUGACAAUUUCAAUGCUUCUCGAGAUUAUCGGUUUCUUAAUAAAUAUUUAUGUUUCUCUUUAAGUUUA